rnacentral:snRNA from 1 species
GUUUAUUAGUAGAGGCAAUAGUUUGCAACCUCUGAACAAGCUCUCAAGGUCCGUUGUAGGAGGAUGUAGGGUAAUCGAGCUUCUAAGACUCCAAACUCAUCUAAAGGGGGUUGCUGCACAUGGCAGUCUGUCAUUCUU